ensembl:snRNA U5 U5 spliceosomal RNA
AUACUCUGGCUUCUCCUCAGAUCGUAUAAAUCUUUCGCCUUUUACUAAAGAUUUCCGUGGGGAGGAGCGUUUAUGAGUUCGUAAAUAAUUUUUUGAGGUCCUGCUUUUGCAGGGCU